CUUUUGAUCUCCUAACAUAUUGGAAAUUACUUAAAGCAACAUCUAGUUGCUUCAUGCCACACUGUUCAGAAGCUCUUCAGGGGACAGAGUUAGCUUUAAUGGGAGAGAGGAGGAAGGGAUUGGAAGCCCUCUUUGACUGGCCCAGAUAGGCCACAAUUUU